GCACCGUCAUCCUAAGAAACCAGGCUCGGAAUUGGGAAUCCAGAUGUCGCCCUUUUCAAUCGCUUCUCCUCGCUUUGCGUUCAUUUUUGUUUUGGUUUGGUUUCAUCAAUGCAUCAUGUCGGCUUUGUUGUUGUUCUCUCGAUCGGCAUCCUAUCAUCUUGAAGAUUCAUCGAGGAACACCAUUUCACAUCCAAGAAUGGAUUAUCGUGAUGCCUUGGCAAUUAAUUAUCCGUUAUUUCAAUCAAAUUGUUCCGAAAAGCGAAGGUUUGAGAUGUUCUUGCGACUUAGAAACGUCUGCGGAGGGAAGAGUUGCUGGAUGUCGACUGAAGAUGUUGUCUUUAAAUUGGAACUCGGAUUCCUGCCACUUCCUGGCUUAUGCUCCAAUUCCUCUUGCGUGAGGAAGUGAAGAAUGUUUCUGUCAGUUUUGUCAUGGACCUCUGUGGAUGGAUUUUGCACAAAAUUGAUCAUUCUACAGCCACAGAUACGCAUUCUCUCACACCACUUGUUUUUGUUUUUCUUGUUCCUUAUUGACAUUGUUGUAAAGAUCCAGUUCAGUGCAGCUUUUGUAGAUUUAGCAAUGGUUGGUUUUCUUGUUAUCUUAGUUCUGAACUGAAUAUAUCAUGUUUAUAACUAACAAUCUCUCUGAUACAUAUCUCAGUGAAUUUUUAUCCACUAACAUUGUUUUCAAAAUAAGAGUUAAAAAGCCAAAUGUUUUGUGUCACUUGAUUUGGGGCAACAUGUGAUCCAUUUUGAUGCAACUUGCAACUUAAUUCAUCAUAUUUUCUGUCUCUUGUUAAUUAAAAGUAUAUAUGCAGCCUUUUUUCCCCAGAAUAUUUGGGUAAGCUAAUUGAAUGAGAGAGAUUGCAUCUGAGUUGAAGUGUUACAUAUUCAGCUAUGUUCUGAUAAACUUCUAUAUGCUGUUGGAUAUUUCGCUGGUAUACAUUAAAUUCUGAAAUAUGUGGUGGAAGUCACAACUUCCAGGACUCAUUGAAAACUGUUACUGUCAAAUAUCACUUUCCUAACUAAUAUCAUUAAGAUAUGGCAAUAUCAUGAUCACUUCAUUGGUAAGAGGCUUGAAGAUUUUCUAUCCACAUAUCUGAAGAUACACAUUGAUAAUUUCUAACCUAAGUAUGAUGCUUGUACAUGAUAACUGAUAAGAACUCCUCAUUGUAUAUCCCUUCAGUUAAAUCCACCAAUUUGUGCACUAACAUGAAUAGAACGCAAGAGCUGUGACUAUGAUACCUGAAACAUCCAACUUACAACACUCUUUUAUUUGCUCUUGUAUUAUGAUACCUGGAGCUUCAAAACUAACUGAGCAAAUAUAAAUAUUUCCCUAUGUUUACUGAUGUGAUUCUUAGCCUGUUCAAUGUGUUCAAGUUCCUAAAACUUUGUCAGUAAUAUUUCCAACUACUUGUUAGACAAAUUUACUGCACAUCUUGUGGUCUAAAAUCCAGGACAUAGAAAGGUCGGCGCAUCUUAAAUAGAAAAAAAUGGUGUGUGUUGCUGGACUGUCAUCGAUUGGUAUGACACCCAUGUGUAUGGAAGUCGACUUGGUGCAAAUUAUUGUGGCCUUCUUUUCUGAUAUCAUCAAUCAUAGAAAAGUGUCCAAACUGUUCACCGUGCAGUAAAUCUGAAAACUACUACAGGAACGAUUGCUUGGCAGAGCACUUUAGCAUCCAAUGAUAUAAGCUCUUCUGCUAGCUCCUGUAAUACUUAUUCUCUGCCCUGUUUAUGAAACACAGCAAAGUUGCAACAACACAGCUUGCGCACUUAUUUUUUUUUGUCCUACUCUUAGAUUUGCUUCGUGCUACUGAUGUUUUCCAGAAUUAUUUUAAUAAAAAAGCUUAAUUUUUAGUCGCUAUAGCAGAUAGAUGUCUCUAUAUUUGCGUAUGGAGUAUGGGAGUAUGGGAGUAUUAAAAAGAUUUGAAAUUUACCUUGUAUUGCAUGAUAAAGACUGCAAAGAAGGCGAUGGUAAGCCAGUCAUUGUACACGGCAGUUCAGCGGCAACUGGAGAGACGAGCCAUGAACGAUGCUGCGGAAGUCAACUUUCUCAUUUACUCCGUUGGCACGAUAAUUUGGUGGGAGUUUAUCUAUACAUUUUUAAAAAAUAAAUUAUUCGCCAUUUAUAUUUAAUUCUGUGAGUGCGAGUGGGUGUGUUGUUGAAGAAGUUGUUGUGUGUGGAAGAAGAGAGAGAGAGAGAGCGUUUUGGUACGAAUCAGAUGGCGGAAAAUGGGGGAGGCGGUGGCGGAGAUGGCGUCGGAGAAGAAACGGCGGCUGCCCUAAGGACAGGGGCGGCGCCGCGGCCCACCAUAGCCCUCCCUCCCCGUUCCUCCUUCGAGAGCCUCUUCCGCGGGGGUGCGUCGGAGGUUAGCCCCGGGCCGCUGACGCUGGUGUCGAGCUUCUUCGCCGAGGACGCCGACUCGGAGUGCCGCUCCUUCACUCAGCUGCUUGUCGGCGCGAUUAAUUCCCCGGUGGCGAGGAGGGCGGGAGGAGCCGCGAAGGAGCAGGGGAAGGAGGCGGAGAAACUCUCGGACGGUGGCGAGGAGGAUGAGGGAGGUGGUGGCUUGAUCCGGUCAGGGCACAAUCGACCCCCGAGCCUGGAAAUUAGCCGUCCCCAGAUUUUCACUGUGCCGCCUGGGUUGAGUCCUGCCGGCUUGCUCGAUUCUCCUGCUUUCUUUUCUUCUGCCCUGGGUAAUUUUGCAAUGUCUCACCAAGAGGCUCUUGCUCAAGUCACUGCCCAGGCUGCACAUUCUCCAUUUACCAUGCUAACUAAAGCAGAAAUACCUUCUCCUUUCUCAACAGAACUGACAAAUUUCUCAUCACAACUAAUCCAGGAGAGUCCUAAGCCAACACAUUCUACUACAAAAUCUGUGGAAGGCUCAGAAACCUUUAAUAAAAAAUCUCAACUUAAUACAACAGUUGUUGACAAACCUUCUCAUGAUGGUUACAAUUGGCGGAAGUAUGGACAGAAGAUUGUAAAAGGGAGUGAAUAUCCUAGGAGCUAUUAUAAAUGCACCCAUCCAAAAUGUCCAGUUAAGAAAAAGUUAGAGCGCUCAGUAGAUGGUCAAGUUACUGAAAUAAUAUAUAAGGGUCGACAUAAUCAUGAAUGCCCUGAACCAAAUAAGCGAACCAAGGAAGGUAAUCCUAGUAGAUUGAAUGGGACUAAUGAACACCUUGACAAUCUGGAACCAGGUUCUCUCGGUGGUCAUGGUAAUUUCAGCAAACCAAACAACGAAACUGCUGCUCUGUUUUCCAAUACAGAUCAAGAAUCAGGCUAUGGCUCACCAGAUCAAUUAUCUGGAUCUAGUGAUGUUGAAGAAGUUAUUGAAAGUAGGCCGGAUGAGGGAGAUGAGGAUGAGUGUGAUCCCAAAAGAAGGAAGAUGGCAGCAUCGUCUCAAAAGACUUCAAAUGAACCUAGGAUCAUUGUCCAGACAAGAAGUGAGGUUGAUCUUCUUGAUGAUGGCUACAGAUGGCGCAAAUAUGGGCAAAAAGUAGUAAAAGGAAAUCCUAAUCCAAGGAGCUACUACAAAUGCACUUAUGCUGGGUGCAGUGUGAGGAAACACAUUGAGAGAUCUCCAACAGACCCGAAGGCUGUGAUUACAUCUUACGAGGGGAAACACAACCACGACAUCCCAGCUGCAAGACAUAGUAAGCCAUAAACUGACUGCAAAAAACUGCUUUGCGCCAUACUUCUCAAAUCAUCACGGAGCGAAGCUCAUGCCUCAUGGAGCAUGUGCGGAUUUCUUGAAGGCACAGAGGCUUAAAAAGAAAGUUCAACAAAUAUGCAGUGAAGAGAAGAUUAUCCUAAAUAUGCAACGUCGCCCUUGUUCUUUGUUUGUAGUUGUGUGCGAUUAAGGACCUGGGAAUUUCGUAUCGAUUAUGGAUGGACCUUUCGUAUUCUAUCACCCAACAAAUAUGAGAGUUUAUAGUUGUGCCAAGAGAUCGACCAUGGCGUCGCGUGGCUUGCACAGGGCCAGCAACGGAGUGGCCAAUGGUACGGUAAAACCCGGCUCUUCUGUCAGAUCCACCUCUUCCUCCCCGACCCUCUUCCACUCG